CACUACGAAGCUAAAACGGUGUAGCAUUAGCCUUUUAAGCUAAAGAAUGGUGACCCCGACCACCCGCAGUGA
rnacentral:tRNA from 1 species